GGAUUAGAUACCCUGGUAGUCCCGACAGUAAACGAUGUAGAUUAGGUGUCGGGAGAGUCGAUCCUCUCGGUGCCGUAGUUAACACAUUAAAUCUACCACCUGGGGAGUACGGUCGCAAGACUGAAACUCAAAGGAAUUGACGGGGACCCGCACAAGCGGUGGAGCAUGUGGUUUAAUUCGAGGCUACGCGAGAAACCUUACCUAGGCUUGACAUGCUAGGAGUAGUCCUGAUGAAAGUCGGGGCGACCGUAUCCAAUCGGAGCUUAGUACAGGUGCUGCAUGGCUGUCGUCAGCUCGUGCCG
rnacentral:rRNA from 1 species